UAGUUACCUUUCCUCUUGAGCUCAACCCUCCCAGAGUGGUGGUGAGAUAUGGAGACUCAGUCUCAGUCAACUGCAGCACAUCAUUCACAGACCAUGAGGGGAUGGGCUGGGAGGCCACAUUUGGAGGUACAGGUUUUGAACAAGAAGUCAAUGUUGUCACCUGGACUGUGGAUAACCUUAUUGAUUGGACAAUAGAACCUACAUGCUACAUCACUCUCAUUGACGGCGAACAACCCUCAGAAGUACUUCCAGUCAUUCUCUACAGUGAGUAUUUUCCUCCUUGUGAAUGUGAAAGGUAUGUUUCUAUUUAACUGUAUACCAGCAUUGAGUUUUUUUAACAUUGUUGACCUCUUCCACAGAGACUCCAGACAGCAUCUCCAUCUCUGUUCUGAGACACUCUGGUCCCAUGGUGAAGGGGACAGAGUACCAGCUGCAGUGUGACAUACAGAACAUUGCUCCUCUACAGAACCUGGUUGUGAAGUGGUACAAAGGGAAUGAACCCUUAGAUAAUGUAACUUACAGUAUCGUCAGUAAGACACCAGUGGAUGUGUCUGAUACUCUGAUGAUCAGCCCCAGUAGACAUGAUGAUGGAGCUCAGUAUAGAUGUAGAGCACAACUGGACCUGGGACCAGAGGGACCACAACCCCAUCCUACAGUGACAUCAGAACCUCUCAACAUUACUGUGCACUGUGAGUUUAUCAAUACACGAUCUUGCCUCUGUACCCCUGACCAGGAGGGAAGUUCUACAACUGUAUACGUUUAAAACUGCCUAAAAGCACCUCUUCUCCUCAGACGCUCCUGAGUUCCUUCCAGGGAAUGACACAGUGGAGGUGAGUGCAGGCAGUGAUGUGUCUCUGGACUGCAGUGCUGAGGGGAACCCUCCUCCUGAGCUGAGGUGGACCAACAACACUGCAGAGGGAAAUGCCAAUGAGACCACUGUAGGGCGCCUGCGUACUCUCAAUAUCUCCAGAGUAACAGCUAAUGCAACUUACAACUGCACAGUCACAAAUAGACUGGGCUCCAUCACCAAGCAUCAGAACCUCUCAACAUUACUGUACACUUGCUGAGGGGAUCACUUCUCCUGAGAUGAAGUGGAACUUCACCUCUGCACGCAAUGUGACGUUGUCCACUGAGGGGCGCCAGAGGACUAUUAGAAUCACCACAGCCACUUCUACCAACGCUGGGAUCUACAUCUGCACUGCCACGAAUAGAGUUGGGACGGCCACCAGAACAACAAGAGUAACUAUGAAAGAUGACCCCACAAUUAUAAUUAUUGUAAUUAUUACAUUAGUUAUCCUGGUCAGUACCCUGGUACUCCUGAAAGUCUUCUGUAUGUUGAGGAAAAGACAAGGAUAUUAUAAUUUCAUAACAAUCAACACCACAGUCGUCACCCAGCCAAACAAUGUUCCAAUGAUGCCACUGUGUACAACAGGGGUAGACAAAUCUGAUCCAGAGGGGUAUCCUACGAAGGUUUGAGGAGUUACCUAGGUAAAUUAUGAAAACCCUUGUGUUCAACUCGGGAUAGCCAGUCAUAUCAAAGUGUCUCACCCUUUAGCCAGGUACAUUUCAGAACGAAUCUGCUCCUGAGCAGGCUAACUCCAGUCCAGUAGAGGCUGCUGAGGGGAGGACGGCCCAUGAUAAUGGCUGGAACAGAGCGUGGAUGCCAUUCCACUGAUUGCGCUCCAGCCAUUUACCAUGAGCCCGUCUUCCCCAAUUAAGGUGCCACCAACCUCCUGUGAACUCCACUUACACUGAAUGAAACGACUGAGCCACGAGUUGAGGACCAAUGAAAUAAGAAUCCCUCUCGCUUGUAAAGAUUGUGUCAACAUCCACUUCAUUUUAGGAUGACAAUAUUUUAUUCAUGAAAUGUUUUUUGUUUGUACAUUUUUUUUAAAGGUUAAAAUAUAUCACAUUCCAAAUUUAGUAAUGACAGAAUGCAUUUUAAACUUCAUGCAGUAACACUUUUGUAUGACAUGAAAAUUAUUUGGUCUACAAGCAACAAUGGGAUUUAAUAAAUCAAAUCAUUAAAAAUACAUUUCAUCCACAUCAUUGAACAAUUCAUUCUGAAUGAAAAGCUAAAUAUAAUUUUUUCAAACAACAAUGAGACUGCGUGAUCUGCAACAUUUUUUUUUCAAUGUAAGAUUAAAGUGGGGAUUCAAUCAGACUAGUGUAUUUUCCUUGAUUUUUGAAUGUGACUUUGAGUAACAAAUCUAUGUGAGUUUACUGUUAAUGUACUUGUAUGGUAUUUGGAGUCAAAGUCAACAAUGUGUAGACUAGACACAUAGGGACGCAACUUUGGUUUUAGAAGUGGGGGGACAUAAAAACAUUUUUUUUUAAAUAUCCAGUCGGAUAAACACUCCAAGCAGCCUAUGCGACUGCUCGGAGACGUCUGCAUGGUCUUAAAGCACACCGUUGCAUCGUUUUGUAUCACAUUCCAAUGAUAAACUGUGGGGGACAAAAAAUGCAAUUUCAGAAUAUGGGAGGGGGGACGGACAUGCCCCCCAUCCCCCGUCCCCAGUGAAAGUUGCGACCCUGCUAGGAAUUACACUGUAUAAGAAAAUAACAAAAGGAAAUGUAUUACUGCCAUGUGCUCUUGAACAAAUAGUGUUGUAAAAUUUGAGGAUUUAUGUAAGUAUGAAGUAGCUAGAAUACUGUCGAUACAUGGGCCUUGAUUCAGUGGUACAGUUUGUUGAAUUGUGUUUAAACAAUCUUAACUAUGAGCUUUUUGUGUGACUAGCGUUUUUUUAAUGCUUUUGUAGAUUUUUGGCUGUUCAAGUGUCUUGCAUCUGUCAUCAUACAAAGGAAUUUAAUAAGAAUGUUCAUAUUUCUAUAUCAAUGCUUAAUUGUAUUGCUUGCUGUAGUCUAAUUACAGUAGAAUCUGAACAUUAAUUUUCCUUUAUAAAACUAUUUUCAAAACUGUUUUUAAAAGUAAAUAAACAAGCAUCACUGCUUAUGACAUGCCACUGCCAGUCUGUCGCCAGUGAACAUUUUAUUGAAGGCAAAUACAUUAGGGAUCUGUCCCUUUAAGAAUUAGGAUUUGGGAGUGACGCGGAUAUGAAAGCUAGUUUAUCCCUCUUUCCUUUGCAACGAAUAUUGUUUAGAUUAACUAGACUAGUUAGCGAUAACUAGCUAAAUUAUAGGGAGAAAUGAUUCUCACUGUUUAGAAACGGAAAGGAUACCAGAAGGGGUAUUUGAGUGUCCUCGGAAUUCAUAUAUCAGGAUUGAGGCGUCCUCCAAAUUGGGAUAACUUUGAAGAAGUUCUUUGUAUUCAGGGAUCCG
rnacentral:lncRNA from 8 species